rnacentral:rRNA from 1 species
AUUGAACGCUGGCGGCAGGCCUAACACAUGCAAGUCGAACGAGUGGCGGACGGGUGAGUAAUGUCUGGGAAACUGCCUGAUGGAGGGGGAUAACCACUGGAAACGGUAGCUAAUACCGCCUACCAUCGGAUGUGCCCAGAUGGGAUUAGCUAGUAGGUGGGGUAAAGGCUCACCAAGGCGACGAUCCCUAGCUGGUCUGAGAGGAUGACCAGCCGCACGGGAACUGAGACACGGGCGAGGCUCCUACGGGAGGCAGCAGUGGGGAAUAUUGGACAAUGGGCGCAAGCCUGAGGCAGCCAUGCCGCGUGUAUGAAGAAGACCUUCAGGUUGUAAAGUACUUUCAGCGGGGAGGCGUUACCCGCAGAAGAAGCACCGGCUAACUCCGUGCCAGCAACCGCGGUAAUUC